UUUUUUUUUCUUUCUGAUAAUACCAGAGAGGAAAGCCAGUGCUCUUAGUUGCUCAAAAAACUCCUGGGCAUGGGUUGAAUCUGAUUAAGUACAUACUUGUAAGAUUGUCACUAAACAUGUGUUUUUUUUCCUUUUGCUAAUCUUUCCAAAAUAGAGUUAAGAUGCUUUCCUACUUGAGAGCUCCAGCCCAGUUAAAGCUAAUCCAUGAACCUCAUGAAAACAAGGUGCUUUUAAGGGAGAAUCAGCCUGCGCACUCCAACAGCAACCCUCAGAAGUUGGAGGAAGGGCGGCUGUGCUUUGUUUGGUUACCUCGCUCACCUGGAGAGCAGAGCGGAACUCUGGGCACGGGCAUUCGGCCUGUUCUUCUCUGCUUUGGCUGGGAGGAACUUCUCCAGUUCCUGUAAUUGCAUAAACGGUUUCCUCGUGUGUUUAUGGAAGACCCACCCACUCUUGAGUAGAUAAGUAGGAUGUGUUGACUGGUCAUUAACAGGAAUUUUAAACAGCAGCCUCUGUAUUGAUCUUGAAGGUGCUGUGCCUGUCACCAGCUGCUUGUUGGACAUCGAGCUAUCAAUUACUACUGAGGCUUGAAGCCUCCUCAGUUCUCAGUCCAGCAACCCACUUAUCCAACUGUAACGUUGUGUGGAACGCAAUGGAAAGCAGUAUCGACAGUCUCACUAAAACUGACGCGUAUUGCAUCAGCCGCUCCAGCGAGGCGCUCGGUUCGUCGCCACAGCACUGAGGUUGGUCAGGUGCGGCCCCUCCUUACGGCGCUGUGGAUGACUCCUGGUUACCUUCCCGUCCUCCACGUGCCUUAAAACAGCUUCCACAAGGACAGUGUGCUCUGAAAUCCUCUGCCUGUCCCCACAGUGUAUCCCCGGUGGUCACUCUUCUCCCCCUUGCGUAUCCCAUUAAGAAAAUCCAGUCUGUGGCACUCGUGGGUUUAGUGAAUGUGAAAGGGGAUGCUCCACAUGAGAGAUCAAAUGUGCUAUUUCCAUCGUGAGGAAAACUGCCUGACAGCAAUUAGACUGCAGGAAGAAUGCUGAAAUGGUGAACUCCAGUUUUGUCUCUUGCCAGCUGGAAAACAUCUUGAGAUGGGUAGCAGUGGGCAGACGCCUUGUCUAAGAGUUGGGAAUCUUCCAUGAGAUCUUUUUGUCUGCUAAAUGUAGUGCAGUAUACACGAAGAUGCCGGCAGCCUUGUCUCUUACUGCAGAACACAGCCCACUAUGGUUAUAGGAGAAGAUUGCAACAAAAGCAUCUUUGAGUUUGUCCCUAGGAGCAGGAGUGCACCUGCACACAGUGCUGCUGCUGUGCUGCCAGGAUGAAAGUGCAUCCUUUCAGUGGGAGAACAAUGGAGGUGUGUUUCUGGCUGCUGAAUGCUUCUGGUUUUGAGCUUUGCGCUGGGGAGUGAAUGGCAUUAAUAGCCAGCUCUGCUGGAAUUGUGGUUUGAAUUGUGUUUGCUUAAAAGAGAAGUCAAACAAGCUGUAUUCUGCAAUA